UAUAACAAAUGUGGAUGUGUCAUUUGGUGGAGCAACACACAUGAUGCUUAUAUUUGGAGAGAUUAGAAGCCACUUGGAAGGUCUCCAGAAUGAAACAGUUUAUCUGUUAGGUGACUCUGGGUAUGCUCUAAGGGGCAUAUGAUGAUACCUAUACAUAAAGCUGUUGAAGAUUCUCUUGAAGGCAGAUACAACUUUGCAGAGCUUUGUUAGUGCACAUUUUAGAAAGGAAUAGGUAGAACAAAGUUCUACUCAAGCACAUCAUAACAUGCUCCAGAAGAACUAUGUUUAUUGAUUUUAAGAAUUUGACAUGAUGUUAUUUCUUUCCUUUAGAGUUAAAUAAAAGAAUAAAUUAUAUACCUA